CUACGGGUGGCAGCAGUGGGGAAUAUUGGACAAUGGGGGAAACCCUGAUGCAGCAACGCCGCGUGGAGGAUGACGCAUUUCGGUGUGUAAACUCCUUUUAUAUAGGAAGAUAAUGACGGUACUAUAUGAAUAAGCACCGGCUAACUCCGUGCCAGCAGCCGCGGUAAUACGGAGGGUGCAAGCGUUACUCGGAAUCACUGGGCGUAAAGCGCGCGCAGGCGGCCUUUUAAGUUGGAUGUGAAAGCCUAUGGCUUAACCAUAGAACUGCAUCCAAAACUAUCAGGCUAGAGUCUGGGAGGGGAAGAUGGAAUUAGUUGUGUAGGGGUAAAAUCCGUAGAGAUAACUAGGAAUACCAAAAGCGAAGGCGAUCUUCUGGAACAGUACUGACGCUAAGGCGUGAAAGCGUGGGGAGCAAACAGGAUUAGAUACCCGAGUAGUC
rnacentral:rRNA from 1 species